UGCGCAGGCGGUUUGGUAAGACAGGCGUGAAAUCCCCGGGCUUAACCUGGGAACUGCGUUUGUGACUGCCAGGCUAGAGUACGGCAGAGGGGGGUGGAAUUCCACGUGUAGCAGUGAAAUGCGUAGAGAUGUGGAGGAACACCAAUGGCGAAGGCAGCCCCCUGGGUCGAUACUGACGCUCAUGCACGAAAGCGUGGGUAGCAAACAGGAUUAGAUACCCUGGUAGUCCACGCCCUAAACGAUGUCAACUAGGUGUUGGGAGGGUAAAACCUUUUAGUACCGUAGCUAACGCGAGAAGUUGACCGCCUGGGGAGUACGGCCGCAAGGUUAAA
rnacentral:rRNA from 1 species